UGCAGCUGAUGUAGAAAGAACACUUGAACUACCUGCAACUCCUCAACUGAUUCUCCUUGGUGAAAAACCAGGAAGCUACAUUAAUAAAUGGAUGAUCAGUUUUGAGGGGCAAGUAAUUUGUAAGAGCAUCCAGCCAAGUUUUCUGUCUGGUCUUGCAGCUGUGUUUUCGAUUUUCCACAAUUUCAAUGUGGAGUACCAAGUGGAAGCUGCAUGCACAUUGGAAUUCAUUCAGAGGCGCUUCAUUGGUAUAAACCCUGAAAAAGGCACCAAGGGGGGAAGCGUCCUAUCAAAGCGGACAGGCGGUCACCCACAAUAAGAAAACAGUCAACACUCUGGUUGCC